rnacentral:rRNA from 1 species
AUCCGUAGAUGACCCGCUCCCAUCAAAACGGGACGGACCGCCAGAGGACCCCUAAACUCUGUUUCUAUAUGUAACUUCUGAGUAAAACCAUAAAUAAAUCAAAACUUUCAACAACGGAUCUCUUGGUUCUGGCAUCGAUGAAGAACGCAGCAAAAUGCGAUAAGUAAUGUGAAUUGCAGAAUUCAGUGAAUCAUCGAAUCUUUGAACGCACAUUGCGCCCGCCAGUAUUCUGGCGGGCAUGCCUGUUCGAGCGUCAUUUCAACCCUCAAGCACAGCUUGGUGUUGGGACUCGCGUUAAUUCGCGUUCCUCAAAUUGAUUGGCGGUCACGUCGAGCUUCCAUAGCGUAGUAGUAAAACCCUCGUUACUGGUAAUCGUCGCGGCCACGCCGUUAAACCCCAACUUCUGAAUGUUGACCUCGGAUCAGGUAGGAAUACCCGCUGAACUUAAGCAUAUCAAUAAGCGGAGGAA